rnacentral:rRNA from 1 species
GGAUGGGUCAUAAGCCAUGCGAGUCAUUGUAGCAAUACAAAGGCGGACGGCUCAGUAACACGUAGUCACUUAAAAACGUGGACGUGGAUAACCUCGGGAAACUGAGAAUAACCCACGAUAGAUCAUAGUGCCUGGAAUGGCUUAUGGUCCAAACAGUUUACUGCCAUGGGAUGGGACUGCGGCCUAUCCGCUUGUUGGUGAGGUAAUGGCCCACCAAGGCGAUUACAGGUACGGGCUCUGAGAGGAGAAGCCCGGAGAUGGGUACUGAGACACGGACCCAGGCCCUAUGGGGCGCAGCAGGCGAGAAACCUUAGCAAUGUGCGAAAGCACGACUGGGUCAGUCCGAGUGAUUCCUGAUAAAGGAGUCUUUUGCUUGUCCUAAAAGCACAGGUGAAUAAGGGGUGGGCAAGUCUGGUGUCAGCCGCCGCGGUAAUACCAGCACCUCGAGUGGUCAGGACGUUUAUUGGGCCUAAAGCAUCCGUAGCCGGCUCUGCAAGUCUUCGGUUAAAUCCACCUGCUCAACAGAUGGGCCGCUGGAGAUACUACAGAGCUAGGGAGCGGGAGAGGCAGACGGUAUUCAGUGGGUAGGGGUAAAAUCCUCUGAUCCAUUGAGGAACACCAGUGCCGACGCGGUCUGAAGAUCACGUUCGACGGUGAAGGAUGAAAGCUGGGGGAGCAAACCGUAUAGAAUACCCGGGUAGUCCUAGCUGGUAAACGAUGCAAACUCCGGUGAUGCCUUUGCUUAUGGCCAAUGGCAGUGCCGAAGGGAAAGCCGUUUAAUUUUUGCCGGCCUGGGAAAGUCCGGGACGCCAGGUCUGAACUCCAAAGGAAUUUGACGGGAAUUC